rnacentral:rRNA from 1 species
AGUGAACGCUGGCGGUAGGCCUAACACAUGCAAGUCGAACGGCAGCACAGUAAGAGCUUGCUCUUACGGGUGGCGAGUGGCGGACGGGUGAGGAAUACAUCGGAAUCUACUUUUUCGUGGGGGAUAACGUAGGGAAACUUACGCUAAUACCGCAUACGACCUACGGGUGAAAGCAGGGGAUCUUCGGACCUUGCGCGAUUGAAUGAGCCGAUGUCGGAUUAGCUAGUCGGCGGGGUAAAGGCCCACCAAGGCGACGAUCCGUAGCUGGUCUGAGAGGAUGAUCAGCCCCCCUGGAACUGAGAACCGGUCCAGACUCCUACGGGAGGCAGCAGUGGGGAAUUUUGGCCAAUGGGCGCAAGCCUGAUCCAGCCAUACCGCGUGGGUGAAGAAGGCCUUCGGGUUGUAAAGCCCUUUUGUUGGGAAAGAAAAGCAGCAGGUUAAUACCCCGCUGUUCUGACGGUACCAAAAGAAUAAGCACCGGCUAACUUCGU